rnacentral:rRNA from 1 species
GACGAACGCUGGCGGCGUGCCUAAUACAUGCAAGUCGAGCGGACGAUUCGAAAGCUUGCUUUUGAAUCGUUAGCGGCGGACGGGUGAGUAACGCGUGGGCAACCUGCCCUGUAGACGGGGAUAACACCGAGAAAUCGGUGCUAAUACCGGAUAACACGAAAUGUCGCAUGACGUUUCGUUGAAAGGCGGCGCAAGCUGCCGCUACAGGAUGGGCCCGCGGCGCAUUAGCUAGUUGGUGAGGUAACGGCUCACCAAGGCGACGAUGCGUAGCCGACCUGAGAGGGUGAUCGGCCACACUGGGACUGAGACACGGCCCAGACUCCUACGGGAGGCAGCAGUAGGGAAUCUUCCGCAAUGGACGAAAGUCUGACGGAGCAACGCCGCGUGAGCGAAGAAGGCCUUCGGGUCGUAAAGCUCUGUUGUUAGGGAAGAACAAGUAACGUAGUAACUGACGUUACUAUGACGGUACCUAACGAGAAAGCCACGGCUAACUACGUG